UACGGGGGGGGCAAGCGUUGUUCGGAAUUACUGGGCGUAAAGGGCUCGUAGGUGGCCAACUAAGUCAGACGUGAAAUCCCUCGGCUUAACCGGGGAACUGCGUCUGAUACUGGAUGGCUUGAGUUCGGGAGAGGGAUGCGGAAUUCCAGGUGUAGCGGUGAAAUGCGUAGAUAUCGAGAGGAACACCUGCGGCGAAGGCGGGUUGCUGGGCUGACACUGACGCUGAUGCGCGAAAGCCAGGGGAGCGAACAGG
rnacentral:rRNA from 1 species